CCUACGGGAGACAGCAGUGGGGAAUAUUGCACAAUGGGGGAAACCCUGAUGCAGCGACGCCGCGUGAGUGAAGAAGUAAUUCGUUAUGUAAAGCUCUAUCAGCAGGGAAGAAAAUGACGGUACCUGAGUAAGAAGCCCCGGCUAACUACGUGCCAGCAGCCGCGGUAAUACGUAGGGGGCAAGCGUUAUCCGGAUUUACUGGGUGUAAAGGGAGCGUAGACGGCAGUGCAAGUCUGGAGUGAAAGGCGGGGGCUCAACCCCCGGACUGCUCUGGAAACUGUACGGCUGGAGUGCAGGAGAGGUAAGUGGAAUUCCUAGUGUAGCGGUGGAAUGCGUAGAUAUUAGGAGGAACACCAGUGGCGAAGGCGGCUUACUGGACUGUAACUGACGUUGAGGCUCGAAAGCGUGGGGAGCAAACAGGAUUAGAUACCCGAGUAGUC
rnacentral:rRNA from 1 species